AAGUCGUAACAAGGUUUCCGUAGGUGAACCUGCGGAAGGAUCAUUAGAAUGAGAGCCGGACCAUGUCGUGGGCGAAAGCUCGCACGUGCCAGUAAGCGCCCGUAAACCUCCGCCCUUGUGUAUUAUUCUUCUGUUGCUUUGGCAGGCCGCGACCCUCUGGGGGAGCGCUGGCUUCGGCUGGAGAGUGCCUGCCAGAGGACCAAACUCUGUAAUUUAAUGCCGUCUGAGUACUACGUAAAUAGUUAAAA
rnacentral:misc_RNA from 1 species